UACAGAGGUCUCGAGCGUUGUUUCGGAUUCAUUGGGACGUAAAGCGCGUGGUAGGCGGCCGUGCAAAGUUCGGGUGUGAAAGCCCUCGGCUCAACCGAAGGAAGUGCGCCCGAAACUUGCAUGGCUUGAGUACCGGAGAGGAUGGCGGAAUUCCCCAAGUAGAGGUGAAAAUUCGUAGAUAUGGGGAAGGAACACCGGAUGGCGAAGGCGGCCAUCUGGACGGAUACGUGACGCUGAGACGGCGAAAAGCGUGGGGAGCAAACA
rnacentral:rRNA from 1 species